AAACCAACAGGGAUUGCCUUAGUAACGGCGAGUGAAGCGGCAACAGCUCAAAUUUGAAAUCUGGCCUCUGGCCCGAGUUGUAAUUUGCAGAGGAUGCUUUUGGUGAGGUGCCUUCCGAGUUCCCUGGAACGGGACGCCAUAGAGGGUGAGAGCCCCGUCUGGUUGGAUACCGAGCCUCUGUAAAGCUCCUUCGACGAGUCGAGUAGUUUGGGAAUGCUGCUCUAAAUGGGAGGUAUAUGUCUUCUAAAGCUAAAUACCGGCCAGAGACCGAUAGCGCACAAGUAGAGUGAUCGAAAGAUGAAAAGCACUUUGAAAAGAGGGUUAAACAGUACGUGAAAUUGUUGAAAGGGAAGCGCUUGUGACCAGACUUGGGCUUGGUUAAUCAUCCAGCGUUCUUCGCUGGUGCACUUUUCCAGCCCAGGCCAGCAUCAGUUCGGCGCGGGGGAUAAAGGCUUUGGGAAUGUGGCUCCCCCGGGAGUGUUAUAGCCCGCUGCGUAAUACCCUGCGCUGGACUGAGGACCGCGCUUCUGCAAGGAUGCUGGCGUAAUGGUCAUCAGCGAC
rnacentral:rRNA from 1 species